rnacentral:rRNA from 1 species
UACGUAGGGCGCAAGCGUUAUCCGGAAUUAUUGGGCGUAAAGAGCUCGUAGGCGGUCUGUCGCGUCGGUCGUGAAAACUUGGGGCUUAACCCUGAGCUUGCGGUCGAUACGGGCAUGACUGGAGUUCGGUAGGGGAGACUGGAAUUCCUGGUGUAGCGGUGAAAUGCGCAGAUAUCAGGAGGAACACCGGGGGCGAAGGCGGGUCUCUGGGCCGAUACUGACGCUGAGGAGCGAAAGCGUGGGGAGCGAACAGG